ensembl:rRNA 5S_rRNA 5S ribosomal RNA
GUCUACAGCCAUACCACCCUGAACACACCUGAUCUCGUCUAAUUUCAGAAGCUAAGCAGGGUCGGGCCUGGUUAGUACUUGGAUGGGAGACAGAAAGAGAUUCCACCACAGCCAUAAGCA